AUGCAGGACCCCAACGCAGACACUGAGUGGAAUGACAUCUUACCAAAAAGGGUAUCUUGCCCUCCAAGGAAAGUCUGAAAGAAUUGGAAAAUGAGGUGGAAGAGGAGAAGCGCAUCCUCCAGCAGUCAGUGGUGACAACAUAUAAAGAUAGGGCUUUGAAAGAGCUGGAAGAUCAUGAAGAUGAGUUUAAUGAGGAGGACGAACGUGCUAUUGAAAUGUACACACGGCAGAGACUAGUUGAGUGGAAAGCAUCUAAACUGAAGAAUACAUUUGGAGAAGUUUUGGAGAUCUCAGGGAAGGAUUAUGUUCAAGAAGCUACCAAAGCCGGUGAGGGUUUCUGGGUCAUCUUGCACCUUUACCAACAAGGAAUUCCCCUCAGUGCCCUGAUAAACUAGCACCUCAGCAGACUUGCCAGGAAGUUUCCUGAUGUCAAAUUUAUCAAAGCCAUUUCAACAACCUGCAUACCCAAUUAUCCUGAUAGGAAUCUGCCCACAAUAUUUGUUUUCUUGGAAGGAGAUAUCAAGGCUCAGUUUAUCGGUCCUCUGGUGUCUGGUGGCAUGCACCUGACAAGAGAUAAGUUGGAGCGGAAACUGUCUGAAUCUGGAGCAAUUAAGAUGGACCUGGAGGAAAACCCUAAGAAGCCGAUUGAACACAUGUUGCUGUCCUCAGUGCGGCGCUCUGUCCCCAUGGGGAGGGACUGCAAUUCUGAGGGUGA
rnacentral:lncRNA from 1 species